GUGCUUUGGAAAGACUUCAAGUAGGGAAAAACUUCUCUUAACAUGGAUUUUACUGUUUUGUUCACAUCCCUUUAUCAGCUGGUUUACCACUUUGUGCUCAAAUGCUGGGCCCAAUGGUUUACACCUGAGGCCUUUGAAGAAUUACUCUUGGCUGACCCUAGCCAGGUCCUCUCACCUGGAAAUGGCUAGAAAAUUAUGCCCUCCAUGCAGGUGUAGACAGUAAAUCCUAGUGGACAAAAACCGGGCUUUCUUGCUUUGAGACGCUGUUGGGCAACUGUAACUCCAAGUUUUGAGUCUGAAUGAAGGGGAAGUAUGGAAGAGCAGCUGCUGCCCUUUACCAUAGACCUGUACCCUCAGCAGUCCUGGGAAAGUAAGAAGCAGGAAGGCCCCCCGGUCAUCAAAGUGAGACUUCAGAUAGCUCAGGUCAUGAUCUCACUGUCAUGAGAUCAAGCCUCACUUUGCGCUGAACACGAGGGAAGUCGCUGCACCAACUGAAGAUGCUGAAAAAAAAAUGAAACUUAAAUAUCAGAGAAUUAUCUGACUUGUGAGAAGGAAGGGAUGAUUAGAAAGACACUGGUGAAACUACACACAAAAAAUAAAAAUAUGAUGAAAUUUGCAUUUAUGUUGGGACUAUAGAUGUCAGUACUUGAGUUUAUUGUAUCUCAGGUAACAGGACACAUUUGCCUAGUAUAUGUUAUCGGCUAUGAGGUGACAUAAUAUUAAGAUUAACCAUUUAUAACUGAAAGAAAUUUAAUAUUGUAAACAUAGAUAACAUACGCUCUUGUUGGAGCUUUUCAAAUUCGAAAUUAACUCCUGAGAUGUCUUAAAGAGUAAGUUAUUGUACUGUGUUGGCUUAGAGAACUACUGGAUUGCUGAAAGACUAAAAAUAUCUUGUACAGUUGGCGCUACUGAAUGUUUGCUGGAUGAACAGUUAAUAAACAAAAUCACAGCAGUGCCACUCCCCAUUGAUUCAGUAUGUUGAUAAAUUACUCAUCUGUAAACAUGAAGACUCUGUACAUAUCUCACUUGCAGAGCUAUACCUACAAAUGAAUGAAUUUUCAGACGUGGCUGGACCUUGUUAUGUAAAUGAUUGAUAACAAACAUAAAAAUAAAUAGUCAAGGUGUUGAAUAAUCUCUUAGAAUCUUAUGGUUCGUCCCAUCAUUUGUGCGGGGGACAUUGGCACUAAUGGUAGGUGAAAGUAUUGGUGCUUCCGUGUCAAUCAAAGCAGUAACGGUAACUGCACCAGUGUUGUUUUCUUUAUCACUGCGCCCUCACAGGAAAAGAAGUGACUGUUACCCUCAAGAAUGUCCUUGAUUAAGUAGUAAAAAUAAUUCUGUUACAGUUCAACCCUUGAGUACAGAUUAUUUUAUAUAUCUGACAAAAUGGGCAGUAUAUAAAGACUUUGUUGCAUGUGAACAAAGUAUAAUACUUGUUUGGGGAAAAAACAAAAACAACCCUUGUGUGAUUGAGCUAUUGAGCUGUGAUAGUAGAUACUAUUUUCAUGGAAAAUGAUUUUUACUUACAAGAAUGGCUAAAAAAGAAACUGUAGUAUUCCACCUUGGCUACUUGACAUCUUAAAAACGAACUAUGUUAGACUCGUCUGAGUGGCUCAGUCUGCUAAGUGUCCGACCCUUGAUUUCAGCUCAGAUCUUGAUUUCAGUUUGUGAGAUCGAGCUCCGUGUCAGGCUCUGCAUUGACAGAGCGGAGCCUG